rnacentral:rRNA from 1 species
AUGCUCCGCGACUACAUUCCCAGCUGCGCCAAGUCCUGCGCCGGCGACGACACCGCCACCUCCUCCUCGUCCACCUCCUGCUCGUCCGGCUCCGGCGACCUCGCCUGCGCGUCUCGCGCGGGGCUGCUCUCCCCGGGGCGCGAGCUCUCCGUCUCCGACGCCGGGGCCUCCAGGUUCCUCUGCUGCCUCGACGUCUCCGAGAUCAAGCGCCGCGUCGUCGCCGGCCUCUCCAAGAGCUCCGAGGCCGAGACCCAGUGGAGGUAA